rnacentral:rRNA from 1 species
UGCAGUCGAGCGGCAGCGACAACAUUGAUUCUUCGGAGGAUUUGUUGGGCGGCGAGCGGCGGACGGGUGAGUAAUGGCUGGGAACCUGCCCUGACGUGGGGGAUAACAGUUGGAAACGACUGCUAAUACCGCAUGAUGUCUUUGGACCAAAGAGGAGGACCUUCGGGCUUCUCGCGUCGGGAUGGGCCCAGUUGGGAUUAGCUAGUUGGUGAGGUAAUGGCUCACCAAGGCGACGAUCCCUAGCUGGUUUGAGAGGAUGAUCAGCCACACUGGAACUGAGACACGGUCCAGACUCCUACGGGAGGCAGCAGUGGGGAAUAUUGCACAAUGGGCGCAAGCCUGAUGCAGCCAUGCCGCGUGUGUGAAGAAGGCCUUCGGGUUGUAAAGCACUUUCAGCAGUGAGGAAGGCGUAGUGGUUAAUACCCGCUGCGCUUGACGUUAGCUGCAGAAGAAGCACCGGCUAACUCCGUGCCAGCAGCCGCGGUAAUACGGAGGGUGCGAGCGUUAAUCGGAAUUACUGGGCGUAAAGCGCAUGCAGGCGGUUUGUUAAGCAAGAUGUGAAAGCCCCGGGCUCAACCUGGGAACCGCAUUUUGAACUGGCAGGCUAGAGUCUUGUAGAGGGGG